GCAGUCGAACGAAGUAGCAAUACUUAGUGGCAGACGGGUGAGUAACAUGUGGGCAUCUGCCCUUCGGCCUGGAAUAACACGAGGAAACUUGUGCUAAUACCGGAUAAGUCUUUACGGAGAAAGCUUUAUGCACCAUUGGAUGAGCCCGCACUUGAUUAGUUUGUUGGUAGGGUAAUGGCCUACCAAGACUGUGAUCAAUAGCUGAUUUGAGAGGAUGAUCAGCCACAUUGGGACUGAGACACGGCCCAAACUCCUACGGGAGGCAGCAGUGGGGAAUCUUGCACAAUGGAGGAAACUCUGAUGCAGCGAUGCCGCGUGAGUGAAGAAGGCCCUUGGGUUGUAAAGCUCUUUCGUCGGGGAAGAAAAUGACUGUACCCGAAUAAGAAGGUCCGGCUAACUUCGUGCCAGCAGCCGCGGUAAUACUAAGGGACCUAGCGUAGUUCGGAAUUACUGGGCUUAAAGAGUUCGUAGGUGGUUGAAAAAGUUGGUGGUGAAAUCCCAGAGCUUAACUCUGGAACUGCCAUCAAAACUUUUCAGCUAGAGUUUGAUAGAGGAAAGCAGAAUUUCUAGUGUAGAGGUGAAAUUCGUAGAUAUUAGAAAGAAUACCAAUUGCGAAGGCAGCUUUCUGGAUCAUUACUGACACUGAGGGACGAAAGCAUGGGUAGCGAAGAGGAUUAGAUACCCUCGUAGUCCAUGCCGUAAACGAUGUGUGUUAGACGUUGGAAAUUUAUUUUCAGUGUCGCAGCGAAAGCGAUAAACACACCGCCUGGGGAGUACGACCGCAAGGUUAAAACUCAAAUGAAUUGACGGGGACCCGCACAAGUAGUGGAGCAUGUGGUUUAAUUCGAAGAUACGCGCAGAACCUUACCAACACUUGACAUGUUCGUCGCGACUUUAAGAGAUUAAAGUUUUCGGUUCGGCCGGACGAAACACAGGUGCUGCAUGGCUGUCGUCAGCUCGUGUCGUGAGAUGUUGGGUUAAGUCCCGCAACGAGCGCAACCCUCACUUUUAGUUGCCAUCAUUAAGUUGGGCACUCUGAAAGAACUGCCAGUGAUAGCUGGAGAAAAAGGGGGGGAUGACGUCAAGUCCUCAUGGGCCCUU
rnacentral:rRNA from 1 species